CAUUGGCAAAACCUUUAAUAGCGCCGUGCUCAGCGGAUGCGCAGCGUCGUCUGACAGCUAAAUACUGCGUGGCCAGCUGCCGCAUAUGCUGUACAAUAAGGCAUAUCAAAAGCACUGGCUCCAGAUGCGCAGGCACUACAUGUAUCGCUGGACUAGCGCUAGAGAUAUUCACUCAGUGCUCUCUUUCCCAAGCAGGGCUUAUUAACACAGUAUCGCGACAUGAGGUUUAUCACGUCCAUAAUAUUUACCCUAUUUAUGACUGUUCGACAGUCUUUACUCAUAAGCUUCUCAUACCAAGAAUUUGAAGACUACGACAUCAAAAAGUUUUUGAAUACGACAGAACCUAUAUGGACAUUCAACACAACUGCGCACAGAAGGCGUUUCUGCAAAGUGGACGUAAUGCACAACAUGACUGAAGAACUAAUCAUUUUCAAUAGGUCCUACUUUAGAAUGAAACGCAACAUUACGUCUACGAAGGUUGUCACGGGGAAGUUUAGUGAUGAAUUCGAAGAUGAGCUUUCCAUCGGCCCAAAAGGUGGUUUAGCCGUCGCACAAGAACAACUCUUUUAUGUCAACGAAGCUUACACGUGUGGAAUUUUUAUGGUGAUCCCAGAACAAUACGAAAUGUAGGAGAAUAUAAAGACAACAUGACAUAAGGGGCCAUCAAUAAAAAAGAAUGCAGCCAACUUCAGUUGUACCUACCCUCAUUACGAGCUGCGUGUUAAGAAUUCGUCCAUGAUAAGUGGCAGAAGUGGCAUUGACCCCAAUUGUACCAUCGAAUUCGACGGGAUUGGGCCACAAGGGCAGCUUGCCUAUGAGCCUCGAUGCCAGGCAAUUAUGUUCCCAAGGUACCGUUUCAGCUAGGUGACAAGUACUACUAGCAAUAUGUUCAAUUACGAAAUGACGAAAGCUCGGCACAGUUUUGACAAUGUUGCUUGGAAGAGCUAAGAAGCACCAGCCAUAUAAAAUGAAUGCGAAGUUCUGAUUGCUUUAUGCCCUAUUUAUUACAUGCAUUUUUUGUUCUACCACGUUAUGCGUAAUAAAGAAUGCCUAAUAAUUUUUCGAA
rnacentral:misc_RNA from 1 species